GACGAACGCUGGCGGCGUGCUUAACACAUGCAAGUCGAACGAUGAUGCUGGAGCUUGCUCCAGUUGAUUAGUGGCGAACGGGUGAGUAACACGUGGGUAAUCUGCCCUGCACUUCGGGAUAAGCCUGGGAAACUGGGUCUAAUACCGGAUAGGACCACUGCCUGCAUGGGUGGUGGUGGAAAGCUUUUGCGGUGUGGGAUGGGCCCGCGGCCUAUCAGCUUGUUGGUGGGGUGAUGGCCUACCAAGGCGACGACGGGUAGCCGGCCAGAGAGGGUGACCGGCGACACUGGGGAUGAGAUACGGCCCAGACGCCUACGGGAGGCAGCAGUGGGGAAUAUUGCACAAUGGGCGCAAGCCUGAUGCAGCGACGCCGCGUGAGGGAUGACGGCCUUCGGGUUGUAAACCUCUUUCAGCACCGACGAAGCGCAAGUGACGGUAGGUGCAGAAGAAGGACCGGCCAACUACGUGCCAGCAGCCGCCGUAA
rnacentral:rRNA from 1 species